rfam:Dipodomys ordii contig_50749, whole genome shotgun sequence.
GGUGGCUCAGUGGUAGAGUGUUUGCCUUGCAUGCAUGAAGCCCUGGGUUCGAUUCCUCAGCACCA